rnacentral:rRNA from 1 species
AUUGAACGCUGGCGGCAGGCCUAAUACAUGCAAGUCGAGGGGUAGAAGAGGCUUGCUUCUUUGAGACCGGCGCACGGGUGCGUAACGCGUAUGCAACCUACCUUCAUCUGGGGGAUAGCCCGGAGAAAUCCGGAUUAACACCGCAUAAAAUCACAGGAUGGCAUUAUCCAAUGCUCAAACAUUUAUGGGAUGGAGAUGGGCAUGCGUGUCAUUAGCUAGUUGGAGGGGUAACGGCCCACCUAGGGGACGAUGACUAGGGGAUUUGAGAGGAUGGCCCCCCACACUGGUACUAAGACACGCACCAGACUACAACGGGGGGCAGCAGUAAGGAAUAGUGGUCAAUGGAGCAAACUAUGAACCAGCCAUGCCGCGAGCAGGAAGACUGCCCUAUGGGUUGUAAACUGCUUUUAUUCGGGAAUAAACCUUAUUACGUGUAAUAAGCUGAAUGUACCGAAGAAAUAAGGAUCGGCUAACUCCGUGCCAGCCGCCGCCGUAACAC